UACGUAGGAGACGAGCGUUGUCCGGAUUUACUGGGCGUAAAGGGCGUGCAGGCGGUUUGUUAAGUGCAGGGUGAAAGCUCCCGGCUCAACUGGGAGAGGUCCUUGCAUACUGGCGAACUCGAGGGAGGCAGAGGAAAGUGGAAUUCCCGGUGUAGUGGUGAUAUGCGUAGAUAUCGGGAGGAACACCUGUGGCGAAGGCGGCCAUCUGGAUCAACACUGACGCUGAGGCACGAAAGCGUGGGGAGCAAACAGG
rnacentral:rRNA from 1 species